UCUCCCACUCCUGCACCAUAUCAAAUUCCUCAUUUAGAAUACACAAGUCACAUGUUACUAAAUGUAGAUUGGCAUUCGCAGAAUUAGCAACCUCUAUAUAGUGCAUAAUGGAUAUAAAUAGGUCCAAUUUAAUAUUACAAACAAGUCUUGAAAGAUACAAGAGUUGCUAGUUAUGAAGUCUUACCCUUGCACAUAUAGGACUAUGUGCAUAUUUGCU
rnacentral:misc_RNA from 1 species